AAUUUUGGACAAUGGGGGAAACCCUGAUCCAGCCAUCCCGCGUGUAUGAUGAAGGCCUNCGGGUUNUNAAGUACUUUUGGCAGAGNAGAAAAGGCAUCCCAUAAUACGGGAUGCUGCUGACGGUAUCUGUAGAAUAAGCACCGGCCAACUACGUGCCAGCAGCCGCGGUAAGACGUAGGGUGCAAGCGUUAAUCGGAAUUACUGGGCGUAAAGCGUGCGGAGGCGGUUCGGAAAGAAGGAUGUGAAAUCCCAGGGCUCAACCUUGGAACUGCAUUCUUAACUACCGAACUAGAGUAUGUCAGAGGGGGGUAGAAUUCCACGUGUAGCAGUGAAAUGCGUAGAUAUGCGGAGGAAUACCGAUGGCGAAGGCAGCCCCCUGGGAUAAUACUGACGCUCAUGCACGAAAGCGUGGGUAGCAAACAGG
rnacentral:rRNA from 1 species